rnacentral:rRNA from 1 species
CCUACGGGGGGCAGCAGUGGGGGAUAUUGCACAAUGGAGGAAACUCUGAUGCAGCGACGCCGCGUGAGGGAAGACGGUCUUCGGAUUGUAAACCUCUGUCUUUGGGGAAGAAAAUGACGGUACCCAAAGAGGAAGCUCCGGCUAACUACGUGCCAGCAGCCGCGGUAAUACGUAGGGAGCGAGCGUUGUCCGGAAUUACUGGGUGUAAAGGGAGCGUAGGCGGGCGAGAAAGUUGAAUGUUAAAUCUACCGGCUUAACUGGUAGCUGCGUUCAAAACUUCUUGUCUUGAGUGAAGUAGAGGCAGGCGGAAUUCCUAGUGUAGCGGUGAAAUGCGUAGAUAUUAGGAGGAACACCAGUGGCGAAGGCGGCCUGCUGGGCUUUAACUGACGCUGAGGCUCGAAAGCGUGGGGAGCAAACAGGAUUAGAUACCCCAGUAGUC